GCCUACGGCCAUACCACCCUGAAAGCGCCCGAUCUCGUCUGAUCUCGGAAGCUAAGCAGGGACGGGCUUGGUUAGUACCUGGAUGGGAGACCGCCUGGGAAUACCCAGGUGUUGUAGGCU
rnacentral:rRNA from 1 species